rnacentral:misc_RNA from 1 species
GAUGAAGAACGUAGCGAAAUGCGAUACGUAAUGUGAAUUGCAGAAUUCAGUGAAUCAUCGAAUCUUUGAACGCAUAUUGCGCUCUUUGGUAUUCCGAAGAGCAUGCUUGUUUGAGUAUCAGUAAACACCUCAACCUCUUCUUGAUUUUUCAAAAGGAGGAUGGACUUGAGCUAUCCCAACAACCUUUACCGGUCGGCGGGCGGCUUGAAAUGCAGGUGCAGCUGGACUUUUAUCUGAGCUAAAAGCAUAUCUAUUUAGUCCUCGUCAAACAGGAUUAUUACUUUUGCUGCAGCUAACAUAAAGGAUAAUUGUCCUCUUUGCUGACUGAUGCAGGAUUUUACGACACUUUAUGUGUUGUUCAACUCGAUCUCAAAUCAAGUAAGACUACCCGCUGAACUUAAGCAUAUCAAUAAGCGGAGGA